UUUCUUCCUAGAGAUAUAAGAAAGACGAAACUUCAGUCCCUUAAAACAUUCAGCUAGUGUGAAAGAGUCUGGUAUAUAGCUGUACUUGGAGCUCUCAUUCGACGUAUAUUUUUUGUUAAACCAUGGUACGCCAAACCAUUGAUCGAUUUGAGGUAAAACAAGAGAAAAUCAAAGUGUUGACUGUAACAAUUGUGAAAGCAAAUUAUGUGACCAUUCAAGGAUUUGUAACAAAAUAUUUAAGUUUUUUGCCUUUUGAAAAACCGGAUCCCUAUGUGAUGCUGCGAGUUCCAACCAGUCCCAACAGCAAACAACGGACAACAGUCAAGUCAGACACAUAUAAUCCAGUUUGGAAUGAAAGCUUUAAAUUUUACCUUAGUCAUGACAAGGAAAACAAACUAGAGAUAACUGUGAAAGAUGAGGAUGUUGUUUCAGAUGACAUGAUUGGCACACAGGAGCUUCGACUGGAUGACCUAGCUAUGGAUACUGAGAUUACAAAAAUGGUGAAAGUAAACGAGAAAACUGUUCUGGAGAUUAAAUUGCUGGUGAAAUACGAUGACACUAAGGAAUUGAGACUAAGCUAUGACUUGUGCGACGAAGAAAAGGAAUUUUUAAAGAAAAGAAAGGCAGAAAUUUUCAAAAACAUGUCAAGAAUUCUAGAUGAUGAUGCAGCACCGAAGAGCAUUGACGAGGUGCCAACGAUUGCCAUCAUGGGAUCAGGAGGAGGAUAUAGGGCUGCGUGUGGAUUAUCAGGGGUAUUUCGUGCACUUCAGGACGCCGGGAUAUUUGACUGUUCUUCAUAUGUCACUGGACUUUCCGGCUCAUCAUGGUACAUAUCGACAUUGUACAUGCACGAAGGGUGGCCUGAUCAUAUAACAUGUAAAAACAUGGCAGAGGAACUAAAGGAGAAAUUUGGAACCAGUAUGUGGACGCAUUUUCACGGUCAUUUUCUAAGACACAUGAAAGAAAAAGAACAGCGAGGUCAACUGGUCAGACUUGUUGAUUUAUUUGGAUUAUUUGUUGGAGAUUGCCUUUUGGACAAUCAAGAAUCAAAACUAAGCCACCAAACUCGUAAAAUCAAAUUCGGCGAAGUUCCUCUACCCAUUACAACUGGGAUCCGAGUACGUUUUGAUUUGCCAGCAGCUGAAUUUAGUGAAUGGGUGGAGUUUACACCAUUCGAAUAUGGUUUGGCCAAAUAUGGUGUGUUUGGGAAAAUGGAAGAAUUUGGAGGCAAGUUUUAUAAAGGGUGUUUGGUCAGGAAAUAUGAAGAGGCACCAUUGUCUUAUUUACAAGGAAUAUGGGGUAGUGCGUUUGGCAUAAUCCUUCACACACUGUUCAACAAGAAGCAUAACGAUGUAUCUGAAGAUGAUGUCUUAGGAGAGCUUGAAAAAACCGCUCUCGAAGAAGGAAGCCGGGUUAAAACUGCAGAUGAUGAAAGUGAUGACGAAGAGGAUCAAGAUGAAUUGCCUGAAGAUGAAAUAGACGAUGAUUGUUGGUUGGUAGAUGCCCUAAAUCCAGUCAAUCUCAUUGCGUCUCGGCGAGGAAAAGCUGCUGAAGUUUUUAACAUUCUACGAGGUCUGCAGUUCAAGAAGGAACAAGAAGAUGAUUUCGACUCGGCACCUGGAAAUCACAAGACAAUGUGCUUGGUAGACAGUGGUAUCGCAUUCAACUCGCCUUAUCCGACCAUCCUACGUCCUGAACGGAAAGUUGAAAUUAUUCUAUCGUUUGAUUUCAGUCAGAGAAGUGGCGGUGAUAAAGAAUUGCCAUUUAAAAAUAUCCUAAAAGCUGAACGCUGGGCCAAAGAGCAAGGGUUACCAUUUCCACAAAUCGAAGAGAACCCAGUGUUGAAGAAUACCGACAUUCAAGAAUGCUAUUUAUUUGAAGACCUGGGAAACCCCGAAUGUCCAAUCGUUUUACAUUUUCCUCUUGUGAAUAAGACAUUUAGGGAUUUCAGCGAACCAGGUAAAAAAAUGUUGGUCAUGUCAUAAAAAUGUUUUAACCCGUAAAUGUGACGCCUGCCUAGAUUCCCAUUUGACAUUUAAUAUUAUAAUAUCAGGAGUACCGCGGGUGACAGAAGAGGAUAAAGACUUUGGAAACUUCGACAUCUUUGAUGAUCCUGAAAAGCCUUAUUCGUCC
rnacentral:misc_RNA from 1 species